GCGGGAUCGCAGCGCUAAACGCCUGAACCCCACGCUCCAUAUAUGGUGGUGACCACGCCCAUCGCUUGCGUCACCAGUGACGCCACCUCUCCCGCGGUGGCGGGGGCCCGGCUCCCGGGGAAGGGCGCGCUCCUCGGGGAGGGAGGGCCGGGCUCUGCGCGCCUCCGUCCAUUCCGUGUAGACGCCAACGGGCCCGCACCCCCGUUUUCUCCCGUGUGUGUGUGUGCCCCGGGAACACCUCCGCGGUAAUCACUGUAUUUUUUUUCCCCGUUUAUUUGUCUUUUGGAGCAGGAGAGCCUUGCCAGAAAGUGGUCGAUUCAGCAGUGUCCUGAAGCUUUUUUUUUUUUUAUUUUUUAUUUUUUAUGUUUUCCGUCCCUCCUCUCCUUCGCCGAGGCGGUUUUUUACUAGGAUGACACCACGUUGAGCGCGUCUGCAAACAACAACAAAUAUAUUUAUUCUUUUAACCCCCCUCCCCCCGAAAAUAAACCCAAACAACCUCGCAGUGUCGCCGGCUGCAGUUACACUUUUUUUUUCUUUUUUUUUUUUCUUUUUUUUUCUUUUUUUUUUCCUUUUUUUUUUUUUUUUUUAAACCACCAAGCUGGAACGCCAUCCAACUCGCUGCACAGAAGUACUCAGUAAAUUGUUUAUGUCGUGCCAAUACAGGACAGAUUGAAGAAGGAAGCAAGACUUGAACUGGGCUUUUCUCCUACUGAUCACAGGGAGUAAAGUCAUCUCUUAUAUUCCAGUCGCCAAGGAGAGAGAGAGAGAGAAAAAUCAAGCAACAACCAACCCACCCCGUAUCUGACAUUUCCCUCAAUUUUAACCCCUUUUGGUUAGGAGCUGGUUUUGCCCAAAUUUGUUUUAAUGUUUGGGAUUCAGGAAAAUAUACCGAGAGGUGGGACGACCAUGAAAGAAGAACCGCUGGGCAGUGGGAUGAACCCCGUCCGCUCCUGGAUGCACACUGCUGGGGUAGUGGAUGCUAACACGGCCGCCCAAAGCGGCGUGGGGCUGGCUCGGGCACAUUUCGAGAAACAGCCGCCUUCCAAUCUCAGAAAAUCCAAUUUUUUCCACUUCGUCUUAGCUCUGUACGACAGGCAGGGGCAGCCAGUGGAGAUUGAGAGAACAGCUUUUGUGGACUUUGUGGAGAAAGAGAAAGAGCCAAACAAUGAAAAAACUAACAAUGGAAUUCAUUAUAAACUUCAGUUAUUGUAUAGCAAUGGAGUCAGGACAGAACAGGACCUGUAUGUUCGUCUAAUAGACUCAAUGACCAAACAGGCCAUCGUCUACGAAGGGCAGGACAAGAACCCCGAGAUGUGCCGGGUCCUCCUGACACACGAGAUCAUGUGCAGCCGGUGCUGUGACAAGAAAAGUUGUGGCAACAGAAAUGAGACGCCCUCAGACCCCGUUAUCAUUGACAGAUUCUUUCUAAAGUUUUUCCUCAAGUGCAAUCAGAACUGUUUGAAGAAUGCAGGCAACCCGCGAGACAUGCGAAGAUUCCAGGUUGUUGUAUCAACAACAGUCAAUGUGGAUGGCCACGUGCUGGCUGUCUCAGACAACAUGUUUGUACACAACAAUUCCAAACACGGGAGGCGGGCUCGCCGCCUUGACCCCUCAGAAGGUACGGCCCCUUCUUAUCUGGAAAAUGCAGCUACUCCCUGCAUAAAGGCCAUCAGUCCUAGUGAAGGCUGGACUACUGGUGGGGCUACUGUCAUCAUAAUCGGAGACAACUUCUUUGAUGGCUUACAAGUCGUAUUUGGAACUAUGUUGGUCUGGAGUGAGCUGAUAACACCCCACGCCAUCAGAGUUCAGACACCGCCACGGCACAUUCCAGGAGUUGUUGAAGUAACUCUCUCCUACAAAUCCAAACAGUUCUGCAAAGGUGCUCCCGGCCGGUUCGUCUACACUGCACUUAAUGAACCCACCAUAGAUUAUGGCUUUCAGAGGUUGCAGAAAGUUAUUCCACGGCAUCCAGGUGAUCCCGAAAGGUUACCAAAGGAAGUAUUACUUAAGAGAGCGGCAGACCUUGUCGAAGCCCUAUAUGGGAUGCCCCAUAACAACCAGGAAAUAAUCCUGAAACGGGCGGCUGACAUUGCCGAGGCGUUAUACAGCGUGCCCCGCAACCACAACCAGAUCCCCACUCUCGCCAACACUCCAGCGCACACCGGGAUGAUGGGGGUGAACUCCUUCAGCAGCCAGCUCGCCGUCAACGUCUCCGAGACGUCACAAGCCAACGACCAAGGUUACAGUCGCAACACAAGCAGUGUUUCCCCGCGAGGAUAUGUUCCCAGCAGUACUCCUCAGCAGUCCAAUUACAACACAGUCAGCAAUAGCAUGAAUGGAUAUGGCAAUGCCGGCAUGCCCAAUCUAGGUGUACCAGGUUCCCCUGGAUUUCUUAAUGGCUCCUCAGCUAACUCUCCUUACGGCAUAGUGCCGUCAAGCCCUACCAUGGCAGCCUCUUCGGUCACCCUCCCUUCAAACUGUAGCAGUACACACGGCAUUUUCUCAUUCUCACCUGCCAAUGUCAUCUCUGCAGUGAAACAAAAGAGCGCCUUUGCUCCUGUUGUCAGGCCCCAAGCCUCUCCUCCACCAUCUUGCACCAGUGCAAAUGGAAAUGGACUUCAAGUUGCAGAAUUUCCGUGGUCACCUGCUGGGAGUGGGGCAGGAGGAAUUGCGAUACAGUGUGCGUUUGGUGGAAGAAUAAAAAUAUGAACAAAGAAGUCUUCCCUUUUACGGCACAUGUAACGUUUAGAAGAUAUUAUUGUCAGAUGCAUUAGAGUCGUUGAAAAGCGAUGUCUGGGCUUGUAGUCCCGCCAAUGUAAAGUCACUUUUGUUUACCUACCGUACGACCAAGCUUCAGAGGACGGGCUUAGGGGACAAGUUUAGUAUAUUAAGACAUGCUGAUGGAAACAGUAUCUCCACACAGAAUCAGCAACAAACCGAAAUGCUACAAAAAAAAAGGAAAAAAAAAAGAAAAAAAAAAGACUUUGUUUAAAGAUUUUAUUUAAACUAUUAAGAA